AGAGUUUGAUCCUGGCUCAGAAUCAACGCUGGCGGCGUGCCUAACACAUGCAAGUCGGACGAGAAAGUGGAGCAAUCCAUGAGUAAAGUGGCGCACGGGUGAGUAACACGUGACUAACCUACCCUGGAGUGGGGGAUAACUGAGGGAAACCUUAGCUAAUACCGCAUAAUACCCACGGGUCAAAGGAGCAAUUCGCUUCAGGAGGGGGUCGCGGCCGAUUAGUUAGUUGGCGGGGUAAUGGCCCACCAAGACGAUGAUCGGUAUCCGGCCUGAGAGGGCGCACGGACACACUGGAACUGAAACACGGUCCAGACUCCUACGGGAGGCAGCAGUGGGGAAUUUUGCGCAAUGGGGGAAACCCUGACGCAGCAACGCCGCGUGGAGGAUGAAGUCCUUCGGGACGUAAACUCCUUUCGAUCGGGACGAUUAUGACGGUACCGGAAGAAGAAGCCCCGGCUAACUUCGUGCCAGCAGCCGCGGUAAUACGAGGGGGGCGAGCGUUGUUCGGAAUUAUUGGGCGUAAAGGGUGCGUAGGCGGUUUGGUAAGUCUUAUGUGAAAUCUACAGGCUCAACUUGUAGUCUGCAUGAGAAACUGCCGGGCUUGAGUAUGGGAGAGGUGAGUGGAAUUCCUGGUGUAGCGGUGAAAUGCGUAGAUAUCAGGAGGAACACCUGUGGCGAAAGCGGCUCACUGGACCAUAACUGACGCUGAUGCACGAAAGCUAGGGGAGCAAACAGGAUUAGAUACCCUCGUAGUCC
rnacentral:rRNA from 1 species